GGGACUGCUGUUUGAGCGCUGAGCGUAAGCUUCAACUGAAGAAGAAAGCCCCAGCAACUGAGCAGAGUCGUGGCCGUGGCUGGGGGAAGCCCCUAUUGAGGAUGCUCGGGCUGCAGAGGCGUCCACAGGAGACCGCAAUCAUUGGCGCAAGCCCUGGAAACUCAUCAACAAUGAGAACAGGAACCUGAGCUGAAGGAUUUGUGACAACGUGGGCAGAACAGAACAGUGAGAAUUUGGGUGGACAGAUUUCAUAAGAAACUAUUAAGCAAGAGGUGUCUGACUAAGCUGGCAACCCAGCCCCAGAAACAGAACAGACCUGGCGACCGUCCUAGGAGGCAGGCUGGAGGCAGGGAGUCAGCUGGAUCCAAAUCGGGAACAGAGUGGGGGAGGGGCGGCGAGCAGAGCCCGGAAGACCCCAAGGUCCACGGGACAUUUUGUCGUCAAGUCUUGGAGUUAAGUGGCCUAGUUCAUUACACUUACUUCUGACUGGAGGCAAGGAACAGCUUUGCUGAUGGUUGCAAGGGGGCAAGAAGAAAAUAAUUGACCAAUAAUUCACCUAAGUGAGCCAAGCAGGCACUAAAAGGCAAAGUGCCAUUCAGCCGCUCAGCAUCCAGUCUGCUGCGGGGAACGACACAAGCUGAAAGUUUUCACUGAUGCCCCAGGAAAACACGGAGCCCCUGGCUCACUCUAUUGAAAUCCUGGUUAAUGCUUUUGUGAGCAAGAAGACUGC
rnacentral:lncRNA from 1 species